rnacentral:rRNA from 1 species
CACUGUUAUGGCUAGGGGGUUAUUGCAACUUACCAACCCAUGGCAAACUCAGAAUACCAUCAAGUGGUUCCUCGGGAGACAGACAGCGGGUGCUAACGUCCGUUGUCAAGAGGGAAACAACCCAGACCGCCAGCUAAGGUCCCCAAUGAUAGAUUAAGUGGUAAACGAAGUGGGAAGGCCCAGACAGCCAGGAUGUUGGCUUAGAAGCAGCCAUCAUUUAAAGAAAGCGUAAUAGCUCACUGGUCGAGUCGUCCUGCGCGGAAGAUGUAACGGGGCUCAAAUCUAUAACCGAAGCUGCGGAUGCCGGUUUACCGGCAUGGUAGGGGAGCGUUCUGUAGGCCGAUGAAGGUGCAUUGUAAAGUGUGCUGGAGGUAUCAGAAGUGCGAAUGUUGACAUGAGUAGCGAUAAAGCGGGUGAAAAGCCCGCUCGCCGAAAGCCCAAGGUUUCCUGCGCAACGUUCAUCGGCGUAGGGUGAGUCGGCCCCUAAGGCGAGGCAGAAAUGCGUAGUCGAUGGGAAACAGGUUAAUAUUCCUGUACUUGAUUCAAAUGCGAUGUGGGGACGGAGAAGGUUAGGUUGGCAAGCUGUUGGAAUAGCUUGUUUAAGCCGGUAGGUGGAAGACUUAGGCAAAUCCGGGUCUUCUUAACACCGAGAAGUGACGACGAGUGUCUACGGACACGAAGUAACCGAUACCACGCUUCCAGGAAAAGCCACUAAGCUUCAGUUUGAAUCGAACCGUACCGCAAACCGACACAGGUGGGCAGGAUGAGAAUUCUAAGGCGCUUGAGAGAACUCAGGAGAAGGAACUCGGCAAAUUGAUACCGUAACUUCGGGAGAAGGUAUGCCCUCUAAGGUUAAGGACUUGCUCCGUAAGCCCCGGAGGGUCGCAGAGAAUAGGUGGCUGCGACUGUUUAUUAAAAACACAGCACUCUGCUAACACGAAAGUGGACGUAUAGGGUGUGACGCCUGCCCGGUGCUGGAAGGUUAAUUGAAGAUGUGAGAGCAUCGGAUCGAAGCCCCAGUAAACGGCGGCCGUAACUAUAACGGUCCUAAGGUAGCGAAAUUCCUUGUCGGGUAAGUUCCGACCCGCACGAAUGGCGUAACGAUGGCCACACUGUCUCCUCCUGAGACUCAGCGAAGUUGAAGUGGUUGUGAAGAUGCAAUCUACCCGCUGCUAGACGGAAAGACCCCGUGAACCUUUACUGUAGCUUUGCAUUGGACUUUGAAGUCACUUGUGUAGGAUAGGUGGGAGGCUUUGAAGCAGAGACGCCAGUCUCUGUGGAGCCGUCCUUGAAAUACCACCCUGGUGUCUUUGAGGUUCUAACCUAGACCCGUCAUCCGGGUCGGGGACCGUGCAUGGUAGGCAUUUUGACUGGGGCGGUCU